UACGUAGGGUGCAAGCGUUGUCCGGAAUUAUUGGGCGUAAAGGGCUCGUAGGCGGUUUUGUCGCGUCGGGGAGUGAAAAACCUACAGCUUAACUGUGGGCUUGCUUUUCGAUACGGGCAGACUUGAGGCAUGCAGGGGGAGAACGGAAUUCCUGGUGUAGCGGUGAAAUGACGCAGAUAUCAGGAGGAACACCGGUGGCGAAGGCGGGUCUCUGGGCCGAUACUGACGCUGAGGAGCGAAAGCGUGGGGGAGCGAACAGG
rnacentral:rRNA from 1 species